rnacentral:lncRNA from 1 species
GAUAAUAAGUAGUGAGAACGAAGCUAGCAAGCAGAAAAGAAUCUGACCUUUUGAGAGUUCGUCGAGCUAAUGAUUUCCGGGAAGAUCCCUGCUUAGGGAGCAUGGUCCCGGCAAACAAUCUGCAUGCAUUUGUGUAAUUGCUGGGCAUUACUGGCUGUCUGGUCGAUUCCUAGUUAAUUAAUCGUUCCAACCAAUCAACUCUGGGCUUCGAGUUUCUGGUACUUCUGAAACAGGUCUCUAUAACAGUAUAACUUCAGCUGAUCAUAGCGUAAUGCUAG